rnacentral:sRNA from 1 species
CUCUUGCGCUUGCUGUGGGCAGAUCCAGUGAAUAUGCGUAUCCACGCCGCCUGCGGUGACGAUCUUGCCUUCCCCGGCGAUGACUUCAGUUCCCACGCCUAUCGGAAUCGUAACGUUGGGCUGAAUAUCGGGAUUACCUGCCUUGCCGAUGGCGAAGAUCCUGCCGGCUUUGAUACCGAUAUCUGCUUUCCACGAUCCCCCAGUGAUCGACGAUCAGCGCGUUGGUUAUCACCAGAUCCACACAUGCAUCGGCGCGCAUUUGCCCCUGGCCCAUGCCGUCGCGGAU